rnacentral:rRNA from 1 species
CGGAGGGUGCAAGCGUUAUCCGGAUUCACUGGGUUUAAAGGGUGCGUAGGCGGACAUUUAAGUCAGUGGUGAAAUACCUGAGCUUAACUUGGGAACUGCCAUUGAUACUAUUUGUCUUGAAUGUCGUGGAGGUUAGCGGAAUAUGUCAUGUAGCGGUGAAAUGCUUAGAUAUGACAUAGAACACCUAUUGCGAAGGCAGCUAACUACGCGAAUAUUGACGCUGAGGCACGAAAGCGUGGGGAUCAAACAGGAUUAGAUACCCUGGUAGUCCACGCCCUAAACGAUGAUUACUCGACAUUGGCGAUACACUGUCAGUGUCUGAGCGAAAGCAUUAAGUAAUCCACCUGGGAAGUACGACCGCAAGGUUG